rnacentral:rRNA from 1 species
UACGUAGGGUGCGAGCGUUGUCCGGAAUUACUGGGCGUAAAGAGCUCGUAGGUGGUUUGUCGCGUUGUCCGUGAAUUCCAUCGGUGCUUAACUGGGGGCGUGCGGGCGAUACGGGCAGACUGGAGUACUGCAGGGGAGACUGGAAUUCCUGGUGUAGCGGUGGAAUGCGCAGAUAUCAGGAGGAACACCGGUGGCGAAGGCGGGUCUCUGGGCAGUAACUGACGCUGAGGAGCGAAAGCGUGGGGAGCGAACAGG